ACCGGUGUAGCUCAGUGGCAGAGCACAGAGGCGGCCGCAAGAACAUGACUCUGAGGAUCAGGUUCGAAUCCUGACGCCGGUA
rnacentral:tRNA from 1 species